UGCGUAGGCGGUCUGGUCAGUCGGAUGUGAAAGCCCUGGGCUCAACCUGGGAAUUGCAUUCGAUACUGCCAAACUAGAAUGUUAGAGAGGGAAGUGGAAUUUCCGGUGUAGCGGUGAAAUGCGUAGAGAUCGGAAGGAACACCAGUGGCGAAGGCGGCUUCCUGGCUAAACAUUGACGCUGAGGUGCGAAAGCGUGGGUAGCGAACA
rnacentral:rRNA from 1 species